rnacentral:tRNA from 1 species
UGGGAUGUAGUAUAAUGGUUAGUACGUGGGGUUUUGGUUCCUAAGAUAGUGGUUCGAUUCCACUCUUCCCAA